GCCCGGGUAGUGUAGCGGCCUAUCAUGAAGCCCUGUCGAGGCUUCGACUCGGGUUCGAAUCCCGACCUGGGCG
rnacentral:ncRNA from 15 species